rnacentral:lncRNA from 1 species
AGGAUAUCCUUUUCCUUCAGAGUCUCCAGAAAUUACAAGACAGGCUGCUUUCUUGGGGCCAUUCAUUAGGAGGCUGACAAGAAGUCUGAAAUACUACACCAAAGGUUGAUGAACAGCUGUAGAAAUCUUAUGGGAAGCAGAAUGCCCUGAUUCCUUGAAGAUGAGCACGUGGGGCUGGAUUCUUUUGCGAUUGUCCCAGAGACUCAUGCUUUCCAUGUGACAAAUCCUCUUCUACGGAGGAAAAUUAAGCUGUGAACUGGAAUUCCAUCAGGCUGUCUACUGUGAAGCCCUGUGGCUUUAGCAAAGGGGCAGCAGUGGUCAGAAAUGACACUCAAAAGAGAGCUACAGUGAAACCCCACAGCAUUCCCCAGCUUCCAGAGAGCAGACAGCUUUG